CCUACGGGAGGCAGCAGUAAGGAAUAUUGGACAAUGGAGGCAACUCUGAUCCAGCCAUGCCGCGUGCAGGAAGAAGGCGCUACGCGUUGUAAACUGCUUUUGUACCAGAGAAAAUCAUUGUACGUGUACGAUGUUGAUAGUAUGGUAAGAAUAAGCAUCGGCUAACUUCGUGCCAGCAGCCGCGGUAAUACGAAGGAUGCAAGCGUUAUCCGGAUUUAUUGGGUUUAAAGGGAGCGUAGGCGGUCUUAUAAGUCAGUGGUGAAAUCUCGUUGCUUAACAACGAACGUGCCAUUGAUACUGUAGGACUUGAGUACAGUUGCCGUUGGCGGAAUGUGUCAUGUAGCGGUGAAAUGCAUAGAUAUGACACAGAACACCGAUUGCGAAGGCAGCUGACGAAACUGUAACUGACGCUGAGGCUCGAAAGCGUGGGGAUCAAACAGGAUUAGAUACCCUGGUAGUCCACGCCCUAAACCUAUGAUUACUCGCUGUCGGCGAGUAUAUGUGUAGCGUAGACGAAGUAACGUUAAGUUAAGUUACGACCGUCGGGUUAGGUUACGGCCGGCCGACGGGUUAGGAACGUUAAAGUUAGUUAGUUAGUUACGGCGUUGAGACGUUCGGCCGACGGACGACCGACGGACGGGGAGGUUAGGAG
rnacentral:rRNA from 1 species